rnacentral:lncRNA from 1 species
AUUUUUUGCGGCGCUUUCUUGUAAUGGCGCUUAAAAGAGUCGCUACAGGCCUAAAAAAAGCCGCUAAAAGCCUAUUUUGCUGUAGUGAGCUUGGACAGACUUCCGAUCGACAAAUUUUCUUUCAAUUUGUAAUAACCAGAAUGGCUUGCCCAGAUGAAAAUUUCCCUGUCAACCUUUCAUCAAGACAAGCUGGAGCUUCAGGUACAGGUAGCCAACCCACUGAGGCUAAUCUG